CUCAUUUUAUAAAUAUUAUCUUCAAUUUACCCUUCUGAAAUGUCCUGUCGUACUAGAAGUUUGAGUAAAAAAGAUAUUGAAAAAUGUUCAAUGUUUGAAGAUAUACCGUCAGAGUCAGAUUUAGAUAAGAAAGAAACCAAUUCGUUCAAUUUGGACUUGUUCUGUAUGCAAAAUAAAUUUAUGCAUGAGAAAAGAAUCCGAUUGUUUUCAAGAUUUUCAUAAAAAAUUACAAUAUACAUACUAUAUAUCUUUAUAAUUUUAAUUUUGUAACGAAAUCUUUAUUUUAUUAUUUAUCGAUAUUUAUUAUAUCGAUACAUGCACGGUGUUAGCAUUGUUAACCACCUUUUUUGUUAAUUUCAAGGUAAUAAAUUAAUUUAAAAAUAAUUUAAUGCUAUAAUUACGGGUUUGGUACAUAUAUACUUAAAGUUUUAUGGAAAAAGAAAUAAAAUUUCAUCAAUUUUUUAAAUAAUUAUUAAUUAUUGGUGUGGACAGAGGUGGAAGUAGGAAUUUUUACACCUUAAGUAUGCAAGUAUACAUCGAUCAACCAUAAAAUUAUGAAAGGGAUAUGCCCUAAAACAAUAUUUUCAUCAUGCUAAAUGAAAUUUAUGAGUAUGUUGGUAAAUAUGCACUAAAUGCAUUAAUAUAAUGCAAUAUAAUACUACAUAUUUAAUAAGACACAAAAUUACAUAAUAAGCGAAUAACUUAUUGCACAGGAAUAAAAUAAUAGAAAAAAAAGCACCAAUUACCCUUGUAAUUACUUCAUUUUAUGGGAAAUAAAAUUCAAAAAAUAUUUUUCCAAAUUUAUGUUAAAAAAAAUUAUAACAUAAAAUUCUAUAGCUGUAUCAUACUUCAUAAUCGCUGAUAAUAAUUAUCCGAAUAUUCAUGGAUAUUUAGAAAUGAAUCAUAGAGCAUGAUGAAAACAAAUAUAUACAUAAUAUAUGAAUAGUUAAAUAUUUAACUUGUUAACGACAUUACCCCUUAAGUUAAACUGAAACUACACAAAAAAGAAAGUACAGAUAUGAAAAAAUACAAGGUUAAAAAUGGUGUGAAAACUUAUUAAGUAUUCAUAAUGAUUCUAAAAAAGAACAUGAUAUAAAAUUAA